AAGUCGUAACAAGGUCUCCGUUGGUGAACCAGCGGAGGGAUCAUUACAAGUAGAGUUUACGAACUCUUAAACCCUUUGUGAACCUUACCUAUCGUCAGUUGCUUCGGCGGGAGGCCCCUGGGAGGGGCCCCGGGGCCCGGCCUGAGCCGGGCUCCCGCCGGAGGAGCGCAAACCAAACUCUUGCUGUACCUCAGUGGAACAUCCGAGUUAAAACAAAAAAACAAGUUAAAACUUUCAACAACGGAUCUCUUGGUUCUG
rnacentral:misc_RNA from 1 species